rnacentral:tRNA from 1 species
UUCUAAAUAAUUUAAUAAAAUAUCUACUUUGGAUGUAGAAAAUUCUAUAUAUUUC